rnacentral:rRNA from 1 species
CCUACGGGAGGCAGCAGUGGGGAAUAUUGCACAAUGGGCGAAAGCCUGAUGCAGCAACGCCGCGUGAAGGAUGAAGGGUUUCGGCUCGUAAACUUCUAUCAAUAGGGAAGAAACAAAUGACGGUACCUAAAUAAGAAGCCCCGGCUAACUACGUGCCAGCAGCCGCGGUAAUACGUAGGGGGCAAGCGUUAUCCGGAAUUACUGGGUGUAAAGGGAGCGUAGGCGGCAUGGUAAGCCAGAUGUGAAAGCCUUGGGCUUAACCCGAGGAUUGCAUUUGGAACUAUCAAGCUAGAGUACAGGAGAGGAAAGCGGAAUUCCUAGUGUAGCGGUGAAAUGCGUAGAUAUUAGGAAGAACACCAGUGGCGAAGGCGGCUUUCUGGACUGAAACUGACGCUGAGGCUCGAAAGCGUGGGGAGCAAACAGG